rnacentral:rRNA from 1 species
UACGAAGGGGGCUAGCGUUGCUCGGAAUUACUGGGCGUAAAGCGCACGUAGGCGGCUUUCUAAGUCGGGGGUGAAAUCCUGGAGCUCAACUCCAGAACUGCCUUUGAUACUGAGGAUCUUGAGUUCGGGAGAGGUGAGUGGAACUGCGAGUGUAGAGGUGAAAUUCGUAGAUAUUCGCAAGAACACCAGUGGCGAAGGCGGCUCACUGGCCCGAUACUGACGCUGAGGCACGAAAGCAUGGGGAGCAAACAGG